CGAACGGGUGAGUAAUGCGUCGGAAUGUACCGUGUAAUGGGGGAUAGCUCGGCGAAAGCCGGAUUAAUACCGCAUACGCCCUGAGGGGGAAAGCGGGGGAUCGAAAGACCUCGCGUUAUACGAGCAGCCGACGUCUGAUUAGCUAGUUGGUGAGGUAAGAGCUCACCAAGGCGACGAUCAGUAGCGGGUCUGAGAGGAUGAUCCGCCACACUGGGACUGAGACACGGCCCAGACUCCUACGGGAGGCAGCAGUGGGGAAUUUUGGACAAUGGGGGCAACCCUGAUCCAGCCAUGCCGCGUGUCUGAAGAAGGCCUUCGGGUUGUAAAGGACUUUUGUCAGGGAGGAAAUCCCGCUGGUUAAUACCCGGCGGGGAUGACAGUAC
rnacentral:rRNA from 8 species